rnacentral:rRNA from 1 species
ACGGGAGGCAGCAGUGGGGAAUAUUGCACAAUGGGGGAAACCCUGAUGCAGCGACGCCGCGUGAAGGAUGAAGUAUUUCGGUAUGUAAACUUCUAUCAGCAGGGAAGAUGAUGACGGUACCUGACUAAGAAGCCCCGGCUAACUACGUGCCAGCAGCCGCGGUAAUACGUAGGUGGCAAGCGUUAUCCGGAUUUACUGGGUGUAAAGGGCGCGUAGGCGGGGAUGCAAGUCAGAUGUGAAAUCCAUGGGCUUAACCCAUGAACUGCAUUUGAAACUGUAUUUCUUGAGUGUCGGAGAGGUAGACGGAAUUCCUAGUGUAGCGGUGAAAUGCGUAGAUAUUAGGAGGAACACCAGUGGCGAAGGCGGUCUACUGGACGAUAACUGACGCUGAGGCGCGAAAGCGUGGGGAGCAAACAGGAUUAGAUACCCUGGUA